CGUUAGAAUUUCAAUAAGCUGCUAUACGCUAUGUGAGAGAUUAAAAGCAUACAAAGGGUAAAUGAGUCGAAGAGAUUUCACUAUGUACUGAUUCUUUAUGGGAUGGUUUUUUCUUAAAAAAAAAAAAAAGAGGGGUGAAUCUUAUGAUUUCAUCACAACAACUCAAACUAAUUUCCCUGACUCUGCUGCUACAGUCGUCCAUCAGCUCCGUGCUGACAGACAGGCUGCGGACGUGCCCUCUCAGUGGAGUAAUUACAGGAAGCCAAGGAGGAGCUGCUUCAGGCACAUCCUGGCGCACAGCUCACCUGGAUGACUUUUCCUGCACUUUAGAAAAGAAAGUUUAUUUUAUUUUAACGUCUUAACGUGCGUCUUCACAUUGAUUGUCGCAAGGUCUGGAACCUAUCCUUCUUUUUUCUUUUUUUUCUUUUUUUUUAACUAAAAUUGAGUGGCUACCCCCUGGUUACAAUAAAUAUUUUUUUGUCAUGUUUAGCAGCUUUGUCGUUUGACUCUGUGAUUCUCCCGCUAAUUGUCUCAGCAGGGCAGCUGACCAAGAUGGCUGGCCUGCCCUCUGGAUCACUCCUGACUAUGCUCCAACCUACAAAAGGAGGAGAUGGGGAAGAAAAAGCAAGGAGAAAUAAAAUACUUCACCCACCCCUCUCCCGGAGAAGUGCCAGAUCUUUAUUUCACUCUUUUCUCCCAGCUCUUUCUGUCUCAGUGCCCACAAAGUGAUUGGAAAGCACACGACAAUCUUUUUUUGUUGACGUUCGAUGGCGCGUGAUAAUGCGGUCAUUAUCGUGGCUAAAGGAGCAGGUUGAGGCUCAGACAGGGUUUCACUGGGGGCCUUUAAAGCACACACAUACAAAAACACGCACACACUCUCAGUGUGGGAAAAGAAUGCUUCGAAAAGAGGGACAGCUGUUUGGGUGGCUUGUGAAGAUGGCGAUUAGGUUUAGGGGAAGAUGGCCCACUGUAAACUCCACCUGUGCAUACGGCCUUGCCCGAGGCUGUGGGGGAAAGCAGAGCCUCUCAUUUCAUCCAGUCUGCUGAGAGGGCUGACUGGAUACGCCCCAGGGACAGGAUGGGACGGACCUGACCAGCCUCCCAUUCAUCAGCCUUUCCCUCUGAGUGAACUCACAACAUAAGUAAAACAAAACUGCGCUUUGCUGUUUUACAUGCACA
ensembl:lncRNA